rnacentral:rRNA from 1 species
CCUACGGGAGGCAGCAGUGGGGAAUAUUGGGCAAUGGGCGCAAGCCUGACCCAGCAACGCCGCGUGAAGGAAGAAGGCUCUCUGGUUGUUAACUUCUUUUGUCAUGGACGAAGCAAGUGCCGGUACCUGACGAAUACGCCACGGCUAACUACGUGCAAGCAGCCGCGGUAAUACGUAGGUCGCGAGCGUUAUCCGGAUGUACUGGGUGUAAAGGGCGUGUAGGGGGGGAAGUAAGUCAGAUGUGAAAACCACGGGCUCAACCAGUACACUGCAUUUGAAACUGUUUUUCUUGAGUGCUGUGGAGGCAAGCGGAAUUCGGGGUGUAGCGGUGAAAUGCGUAGAUAUACGGAGGAACACCAGUGGCGAAGGCGGAUUGCUGGACAGUAACUGACGCUGAGGCGCGAAAGCGUGGGGAGCAAACAGGAUUAGAUACCCUUGUAGUC